rnacentral:rRNA from 1 species
GAUCCUGGCUCAGGAUGAACGCUGGCGGCGUGCCUAACACAUGCAAGUCGAACGAUGAAACCGCCCUCGGGCGGACAUGAAGUGGCGAACGGGUGAGUAACACGUGACCGACCUGCCCCCCGCCCAGGGACAGCCCCCCGAAAGGGGGAUUAAUACCUGGUACUCCGGAAGCGGCGCAUGCCGGCUCCGGGAAAGCUUCUCGCGGCGGGGGAUGGGGUCGCGGCCCAUCAGGUAGACGGCGGGGUAGAGGCCCACCGUGCCGACGACGGGUAG